ACACGGGAAAGGAGGUGGUCCGAGGAAUGAGUUCUUCGAGGACGCGUGAGGUGGCUGCCCACUAGCAGCGCACCGCCCAGCCGCGUGAGCGCGCUGGUGAAUUCCAAGCAGUCACCCGACCCGCAGACGAUCCGGGAACACGUCCCCCGGAGCGGCCCCAUCCCGGGGCCACGUCUGCGGGUCGCUGCUU
rnacentral:sRNA from 1 species